ACUCCUACGGGAGGCAGCAGUAGGGAAUCUUCCACAAUGGACGAAAGUCUGAUGGAGCAACGCCGCGUGAGUGAAGAAGGGUUUCGGCUCGUAAAACUCUGUUGUUAAGAAGAACAUAUCUGAGAGUAACUGUUCAGGUAUUGACGGUAUUUAACCAGAAAGCCACGGCUAACUACGUGCCAGCAGCCGCGGUAAUACGUAGGUGGCAAGCGUUGUCCGGAUUUAUUGGGCGUAAAGAGAAUGUAGGCGGUUUAUUAAGUUUGAAGUGAAAGCCCUCGGCUCAACCGAGGAAGUGCUUCGAAAACUGGUAAACUUGAGUGCAGAAGAGGAAAGUGGAACUCCAUGUGUAGCGGUGGAAUGCGUAGAUAUAUGGAAGAACACCAGUGGCGAAGGCGGCUUUCUGGUCUGUAACUGACGCUGAGAUUCGAAAGCAUGGGUAGCAAACAGGAUUAGAUACCCUGGUAGGAUAG
rnacentral:rRNA from 1 species